CUCCCCUGGCAAUGGGCAAAGAGUCACCUAAUUGGUGGUGCUGCUCUUAUAUCAGUCAGGGACAGAGAAGAUGGCAGUCCUUUGUUCAUUCUAGCUUGAUGCCUGGCUUAGUGCCUAGAGCUGUGUG
rnacentral:snoRNA from 1 species